rnacentral:rRNA from 1 species
GACGAACGCUGGCGGCGUGCCUAAUACAUGCAAGUCGAGCGAGUCUGCCUUGAAGAUCGGAGUGCUUGCACUCUGUGAAACAAGAUACAGGCUAGCGGCGGACGGGUGAGUAACACGUGGGUAACCUGUCCAAGAGAUCGGGAUAACACCUGGAAACAGAUGCUAAUACCGGAUAACAACAGAUGAUGCCUAUCAACUGUUUAAAAGAUGGUUCUGCUAUCACUCUUGGAUGGACCUGCGGUGCAUUAGCUAGUUGGUAGGGUAACGGCCUACCAAGGCGAUGAUGCAUAGCCGAGUUGAGCGACUGAUCGGCCACAUUGGGACUGAGACACGGCCCAAACUCCUACGGGAGGCAGCAGUAGGGAAUCUUCCACAAUGGACGCAAGUCUGAUGGAGCAACGCCGCGUGAGUGAAGAAGGGUUUCGGCUCGUAAAGCUCUGUUGUUGGUGAAGAAGGACAGGGGUAGUAACUGACCUUUGUUUGACGGUAAUCAAUUAGAAAGUCACGGCUAACUACGUG